rnacentral:sRNA from 1 species
AAAUACCCCUUGUCUUUUUCAAUAUUUACACCAUUCUCUGCCGCUGCUCUCUUCCCGUAGACUUCAUCCUCAUCCUUCCUCCUCAUCCUCUCCCGUAGCUGUCGACUGCACCCAGCCAGCACGGAGCCACUACCGUCGCAUUGCAGAUUGACCCAGGUGGAGGUUCAAGUGAGGAAGUUGUAUUGUGUGAGUAAGGCUGCUGUUUUACCUAUUAACAUUGAGGAUGCUGCUCGGAGUGAUGUUGAAAUCGAAAAGGCUUUGCAGGCCGGAGAAACACUUGUUCGAGUUAAUCAGGAUACCCACUUGAAUAACCGAGUUCUUGAUUUGCGAACACCUGCGAAUCAGGGGAUAUUCCACAUUCAGAGUCAAGUUGGCAAUAUCCACUCGCCAAAGUUGAUUGCUGGUUCAAGUGAAGGUGGAGCUGCUGUUUUUAGACUCAACUACAAGGGUCAAGAUGCCUACCU